CUCCUACGGGAGGCAGCAGCGGGGAAUUUUGGACAAUGGGCGAAAGCCUGAUCCAGCAAUGCCGCGUGUGUGAAGAAGGCCUUCGGGUUGUAAAGCACUUUUGUCCGGAAAGAAAUGGCUCUGGUUAAUACCUGGGGUCGAUGACGGUACCGGAAGAAUAAGGACCGGCUAACUACGUGCCAGCAGCCGCGGUAAUACGUAGGGUCCAAGCGUUAAUCGGAAUUACUGGGCGUAAAGCGUGCGCAGGCGGUUGUGCAAGACCGAUGUGAAAUCCCCGAGCCUAACUUGGGAAUUGCAUUGGUGACUGCACGGCUAGAGUGUGUCAGAGGGGGGUAGAAUUCCACGUGUAGCAGUGAAAUGCGUAGAGAUGUGGAGGAAUACCGAUGGCGAAGGCAGCCCCCUGGGAUAACACUGACGCUCAUGCACGAAAGCGUGGGGAGCAAACAGGAUUAGAUACCCUGGUAGUCCACGCCCUAAACGAUGUCAACUAGUCGUUGGGGAUUCAUUUCCUUAGUAACGUAGCUAACGCGUGAAGUUGACCGCCUGGGGAGUACGGUCGCAAGAUUAAAACGCAAAGGAAUUGACGG
rnacentral:rRNA from 1 species